UGGACGGGUGAGUAACGCGUGGGUAACCUGCCUCACACUGGGGGACAACAGUUAGAAAUGACUGCUAAUACCGCAUAAGCGCACAGGAUCGCAUGGUCCGGUGUGAAAAACUCCGGUGGUGUGAGAUGGACCCGCGUUUGAUUAGCUAGUUGGUGGGGUAACGGCCUACCAAGGCGACGAUCAAUAGCCGACCUGAGAGGGUGACCGGCCACAUUGGGACUGAGACACGGCCCAA
rnacentral:rRNA from 1 species